UGGGGGGGGUGGCAGCUGUAGCAGCGUCGGGGGAGCAGGCGGGGGUGAAAGAAGUGUAGACCGGCCCCGCACGUCCCCUUCUCAGCGCCUGAUGUCCACACAUCACCACCACCACCAUUUGGGGUACUCGUUGCUCCCAGCACAGUACAACUUACCCUACGCAGCAGGGCUUUCUUCUACAGCCAUUGUUGCCAGCCAGCAAGGCUCCACUCCCUCACUCUACCCACCCCCGCGGAGGUGAGAAUGAACACCAAGUGCCCGGAUAAAGUCAGCUUCACGGGCCCGGACUGGCUCACCCAAGGAGGUGCUGGAGGUGCCAUUUAGACAUCAGUUAAAUGGUGUUGAUCAUCCUGUUUGCCGUUCCCACCAUGACCGAAGGCAGACCCUUGGCUAUCUCACCUCCACCAGAUCCCUGGACUCCCCAACCCUCCCUCUUCCUCAGGAGCUGGAGAGCUGGUACUUAGCAAAAAUAUUUAUUCUCUCGGCCACAGUUGAGACUGUUGUGGCCUCUGUGGAGAUGAAGGCACGGGGAGCAACCAGGGGAACAUGGCCUCAGCCCAGAGAAGUAACUGCUCCGUUCCCCAAGCCCCUGGUCAGCUGCCAGAGCAGUGCCAACCCCCACCCCCCAGGGAGGGACUCACAAGUACUGGGUAAGGUCUGAAGACAGCACAGCAGCCAUACCCCUGUCACUGUCAUUACCACAAUCACCAGAUCCUGCAUCUCCCCAGCAGUUUGGGCCCUGGGAACUGGCAGCAUGUGGAGGAAUUAGAAUCUCAGGAAAGAAAUUGGGGGCUGUUUUCUCUGUACUUGUGAAAACAAAGUCUUCACCCAUGAAGACUUCUCCCCUCUCAUGUGAGCACAUAUAAAUGCUCAGAGCCUAGCCUGGAAAGGAAGACCAAGGCAUUUGCCCCACCAUGGCCCUGGGAUACCUGUCAGGCAGAGGGCUGAGGUCCCAACACCAGCACAGGGCUCCCCAGGGAUACUUGGGAGUGAGCUGGAGCAUGAAUGGAGUCUGUGAAAAAGAACCUGCAUCCCCACUAAGUCCUGCUGCUUCUAAGCCCCCAACUCCUUGCCCUUUUCUCUCUCUCCUCCUUACCCCUUGGUGCCUUUCCCAGGGGGAUCCCCAUGCUGAUCUCUCCUUCUCUUUUCCACUGCUUGGCUCUUAAGACUCAGGCAGGUAAAAUAGUAUUCCCCCCAGCAUGGGGAGAUCUGGAGUCUGCCAGGUCACCUUCGGGCAAGGCCCAGGAGGGAGGCCCUGGGAGCACCCAGCAGUUCUUAGAGGUGUCCUGUCCAUUCAGCCAUCUGAGUAUCCUCCUCAUUUAGGGCCACAAAUAUAUACAGCCCAGUUCCUCUGUAUACAAGUACAUGAUUUUAUAUAGCUCAAUCUAUAACCCCACGUGUGCCAAUAUCAGCUGUGUUUCUUUGUUAACACACGUUUUUGUUUUAGGGGCCACUGGCCAUGGAAAGUUACGGGUUCCUUAGACCCUGGGAUAACACAUCCAAGCCAUUACUCCUCAGAGCCAGAGUGUACUCAGUGGAGCUGUGCUAUGAGGCAGCAGACAUUUCUCUGCUCUCCUUAGAAAUGCAGUCUACCAGCCCAGCUUUAUGCUCUUUGCCCUGGGAAAGUGACCAUGAUUUGGUAGCUUUAUUGGAGUCACUUCUUCCCCAAGGUAUGAGGAGCUUUAGCUCUUAUUUUGCUUUUGAGGUAUCAUCCCUUUGUUCUCCUUGGCUAUCUUUCCUUGACCUUCUGGAUUGAGAAAGACUGACAUACACCAGCCUAAGGCUAGAGAGGGGUAUUUGUGACCAGAGUGCCAAAGUGACCAUUUAAGAGCAAGGACUUGGCUCGGACUCCAUUUGGGGCAUGGGGGUGGAAGACAAUAAGCACAAUGCCCAGCAGAGGCUGCUUUCCAAGAGCCCUGGCUUAGGGUCGUUUGCCCAAGAGGAGCCCCUUUCACCUAUAGACCUCUCCUCUAGGCUUUCAUGUCAGUUGUUUUUGUUCAAGUUGGGUUGAAUCCUUCCCAAAACCCACUGUUUUAGACCACUUUGCAGGCCCCCAAGCAGCCUCCCUUUUCCCCAUCAUUCCCUCGGCCUCCUGCUAAACCCAGAGGGCAGGGCUCUGGGCAGUGACUUCCCUUUCAUCCAUGGAAGUAGUUGGUUUGGGCACCUUCACCCCACCUAACCUGAGUCACCCCCACCAAGAGGAUGACUCUGAAUUUCAGCCUGAUUGUACCCUCCCAGACUCCUGUGGGGUGGAGCCAAGGGCCCAUCUCUGUUCCUGUUUGUUUUUAAAUAUUGUUGUGUUUUGUAACUGUGGCGCUGGCUUACAGCGUGCUCUGUACAUAUUGUAAAGAAACCGUUGGAGUAAUUUUCUUUCCCACUGGGCAGGCCUGGCCCCACAUUCCUGCCCCUUCCACUUGGUUCUGUAACACAGAGAAGAGGAACUUCUGUAUUAGCAGGGCAGCCUUGGGUUCUGCAGAAGGGAAUUUUUUUUUUUUCUUUCCUUACAAAGAAACAUUUGGCUCUCUGAUCCUUAUAUCCAAGUCUCCCUAGAAGCGUAGGAGCUGAGCUCCCAGAAGAGCAGGUGAAAGCAACAAUGGCAGAAUAGCACUGUCUUUUCCUGGUCCCUGCUCCUUGCCAGGUCCAGUCUUCCCUCCCUGAAAUAACAUGCAGCAGCUGCAUCAACGAAGGAAGUAGAGAUCCUUGACAAGUGCUGAGUGAAGGAUCUGCUGUCCACCUCCAGCCUCUAUGGAGAGGAGGCACACAGGUAGGAGUACCUGUGGCACCCAUGACUUGCUCAGAGAGAUGAGACACUCAGCAGGGAUUCCACCCCAUGAGCAAAGGCUGGAAUAGCUUGCUGGGACCAAGACCACCAGACCAAAGCUCUCUAUGAGCCACCUCUGCCCCUUCACAAACCUCGUUCACCGGGGCUCCACACAGAGGACCUACAGGGAGGGAGCCUCAUCCCCAGUUAGGACAGCCAGGGCUGGGAGAGCUGCUCUUUAGGGUUCACAUCUGCUUCCUCACUUAAGGUGUGCCGGUUUCCUUCAUCCCCCUUCCCUGCCUGUACAUGUACGUGUACAUGUACGAAGUUCCCUUCUCUUACCUCAUUCCCUCCACAUGUCUCCAGGUCAAAUGACCACAGGCAGAAUGGUUAAGAAGGCACCCCAUGAAAUGAAAUGGUGACUCUUGAAUAUUCUCUCCGGGCUCCAAGGGGAGGGUGAGAGGAUGUGGUUUUGGGGGUGGGAGGGUGAGACUGUAGAAGGGCUAGAGUUACUGUACAUGGGCUUUGAGGUCACCCUUGUUGCUCAUUAUGCUGUGUACCCUGUUACCAUCCCAAUGUCUACUCUCCUGCCCCUGUGAUUUAACUGGGCAGCUAGUUGGCCCCAUAAUUCUGGGCCUUUGUCAUUUGUUUUACUACUAGGGCAUCCCAGGAAGCUCUCUGAUGAUCCUCUGCCAUGGGCCCCUCCUGGGAUCAAGCCCCUCCCAGGCCCCGCCCCCAGCCCCUCUUGCCCCAGCCCACCCGCUUGCCUUGGUGCUCAGCCCCCCAUUGGGAGCAGGUUGGGGCGAGCUGGAGGCCCGGGCUGGAGGGGCAGUGUUGCUGUUCAUAGCUUUUGUUCCAUUGGCGUUGCUCUGUUGGAUUUAAUUUCAGUCUUCCUGAUUCUUCCCUUCUGUAAAGUGUACAUUA